GGGUUGUGAGGUUAAGCGACUAAGCGUACACGGUGGAUGCCCUGGCAGUCAGAGGCGAUGAAGGACGUGCUAAUCUGCGAAAAGCGCCGGCGAGGUGAUAUGAACCUUUGACCCGGCGAUGUCCGAAUGGGGAAACCCAGUGCAAUCCGUUGCACUAUCGUUAACUGAAUACAUAGGUUAACGAGGCGAACCGGGGGAACUGAAACAUCUAAGUACCCCGAGGAAAAGAAAUCAACCGAGAUUCCCCCAGUAGCGGCGAGCGAACGGGGAGCAGCCCGGAGUCUGAAUCAGCUUGUGUGUUAGUGGAACGGUCUGGAAAGUCCGACGGUACAGGGUGAUAGUCCCGUACACGAAAAUGCACAUGCUGUGAACUCGAAGAGUAGGGCGGGACACGUGGUAUCCUGUCUGAAUAUGGGGGGACCAUCCUCCAAGGCUAAAUACUCCUGACUGACCGAUAGUGAACCAGUACCGUGAGGGAAAGGCGAAAAGAACCCCGGCGAGGGGAGUGAAAAAGAACCUGAAACCGUGUACGUACAAGCAGUGGGAGCCUCUUUAUGGGGUGACUGCGUACCUUUUGUAUAAUGGGUCAGCGACUUAUAUUCUGUAGCAAGGUUAACCGUAUAGGGGAGCCGAAGGGAAACCGAGUCUUAACUGGGCGUUAAGUUGCAGGGUAUAGACCCGAAACCCGGUGAUCUAGCCAUGGGCAGGUUGAAGGUUGGGUAACACUAACUGGAGGACCGAACCGACUAAUGUUGAAAAAUUAGCGGAUGACCUGUGGCUGGGGGUGAAAGGCCAAUCAAACCGGGAGAUAGCUGGUUCUCCCCGAAAGCUAUUUAGGUAGCGCCUCGUGAACUCAUCUUCGGGGGUAGAGCACUGUUUCGGCUAGGGGGCCAUCCCGGCUUACCAACCCGAUGCAAACUACGAAUACCGAAGAAUGUUAUCACGGGAGACACACGGCGGGUGCUAACGUCCGUCGUGAAGAGGGAAACAACCCAGACCGCCAGCUAAGGUCCCAAAGUCAUGGUUAAGUGGGAAACGAUGUGGGAAGGCACAGACAGCCGAGGAUGUUGGCUUAGAAGCAGCCAUCAUUUAAAAGAAAGCGUAAUAGCUCACUGGUCGAGUCGGCCUGCGCGGAAGAUGUAACGGGGCUAAACCAUGCACCGAAGCUGCGGCAGCGACACUAUGUGUUGUUGGGUAGGGGAGCGUUCUGUAAGCCGUUGAAGGUGUGCUGUGAGGCAUGCUGGAGGUAUCAGAAGUGCGAAUGCUGACAUAAGUAACGAUAAAGCGGGUGAAAAGCCCGCUCGCCGGAAGACCAAGGGUUCCUGUCCAACGUUAAUCGGGGCAGGGUGAGUCGACCCCUAAGGCGAGGCCGAAAGGCGUAGUCGAUGGGAAACAGGUUAAUAUUCCUGUACUUGGUGUUACUGCGAAGGGGGGACGGAGAAGGCUAUGUCAGCCGGGCGACGGUUGUCCCGGUUUAAGCAUGUAGGCGGAGGUUCCAGGUAAAUCCGGUACCUUAUUAACGCUGAGGUGUGAUGACGAGGCACUACGGUGCUGAAGUGAUAAAUGCCCUGCUUCCAGGAAAAGCCUCUAAGCAUCAGGUAACACGAAAUCGUACCCCAAACCGACACAGGUGGUCAGGUAGAGAAUACCAAGGCGCUUGAGAGAACUCGGGUGAAGGAACUAGGCAAAAUGGUGCCGUAACUUCGGGAGAAGGCACGCUGAUGUGUAGGUGAAGCCCCUGCGGGCGGAGCUGAAAUCAGUCGAAGAUACCAGCUGGCUGCAACUGUUUAUUAAAAACACAGCACUGUGCAAACACGAAAGUGGACGUAUACGGUGUGACGCCUGCCCGGUGCCGGAAGGUUAAUUGAUGGGGUUAGCGGCAACGCGAAGCUCUUGAUCGAAGCCCCGGUAAACGGCGGCCGUAACUAUAACGGUCCUAAGGUAGCGAAAUUCCUUGUCGGGUAAGUUCCGACCUGCACGAAUGGCGUAAUGAUGGCCAGGCUGUCUCCACCCGAGACUCAGUGAAAUUGAACUCGCUGUGAAGAUGCAGUGUACCCGCGGCAAGACGGAAAGACCCCGUGAACCUUUACUAUAGCUUGACACUGAACACUGGUCCUUGAUGUGUAGGAUAGGUGGGAGGCUUUGAAGCGUGGACGCCAGUCUGCGUGGAGCCAACCUUGAAAUACCACCCUUUAAUGGCUGGUGUUCUAACGUAGACCCGUAAUCCGGGUUGCGGACAGUGUCUGGUGGGUAGUUUGACUGGGGCGGUCUCCUCCCAAAGAGUAACGGAGGAGCACGAAGGUUGGCUAAUCCCGGGUCGGACAUCAGGAGGUUAGUGCAAUGGCAUAAGCCAGCUUGACUGCGAGCGUGACGGCGCGAGCAGGUGCGAAAGCAGGUCAUAGUGAUCCGGUGGUUCUGAAUGGAAGGGCCAUCGCUCAACGGAUAAAAGGUACUCCGGGGAUAACAGGCUGAUACCGCCCAAGAGUUCAUAUCGACGGCGGUGUUUGGCACCUCGAUGUCGGCUCAUCACAUCCUGGGGCUGAAGUAGGUCCCAAGGGUAUGGCUGUUCGCCAUUUAAAGUGGUACGCGAGCUGGGUUUAGAACGUCGUGAGACAGUUCGGUCCCUAUCUGCCGUGGGCGCUGGAGAAUUGAGGGGGGCUGCUCCUAGUACGAGAGGACCGGAGUGGACGCAUCACUGGUGUUCGGGUUGUCAUGCCAAUGGCAUUGCCCGGUAGCUAAAUGCGGAAGAGAUAAGUGCUGAAAGCAUCUAAGCACGAAACUUGCCCCGAGAUGAGUUCUCCCUGAGACUUUAAGUCUCCUGAAGGAACGUUGAAGACGACGACGUUGAUAGGUCGGGUGUGUAAGCGCAGCGAUGCGUUGAGCUAACCGAUACUAAUGAACCGUGAGGCUUAACCUUACAACGCCGAAGGUGUUU
rnacentral:rRNA from 1 species